CAGCUGCAGGAGGUGGGGAAGGUUUGUUUCCAGCUGUGUUUUUGUAUUGCAACCUAUUGCACGACAUACAGCACCUUACCUCGUGGCUUACAAAUCGUGAAGGAAAUGUUUGGUGGACAGUGGACAAGAAGAGCAAGACAGUCAUGUGGGACCUACGGAUAAGUGCGAGAGACAAACCAGUAGCAGUCUUACAGGAUGAAUGCAAGCACUGCACUAACUGAUUCAAGGAUUUACAAUUAAUUGAGGACUGCUUAUUUACUGCAUUUUUCUGGGAAUGUUUUUGGUAAUGCCAACUCCAGACUUUCACCAUGUUUUUAUCAUAACAUUUUUCAGAGAAUAUGUAUUCCCUUAACGCCAUGAAAAAUACCUGUAGCAAUAAGAUCCGGACAAGCACAAAAGCCAUGAAUAUCCAUGCCUGUUGUGAUCCUGUGCAGAUAGCUCUGUAUUAUUCAGCUGUAACAAACUGAAAAUGUAAGACACAAGAUUGCUAACGGCAGAUUCAACAGCGAUUGCCUGUUUAAAUAAUUUUACAAGCUUUCAAGUUCCAGUCAUAGGUAGUUUGUUGAUUUUGUGUGUGACAGUUUUAAACAUCUUUGCUUCUAAGUAGCAGAGCUAUUUUUCUGGGUCCCACUGCUGUGCAGCAGUGCCUUGACUAACUGUAACUGUUGGUAGCUGCUUUUGUUUUGAUUUUUGAGUAGGCUUAUACUGCAACAUUUUGUUCAUCCAGGUGCAAAAGUCACUAAGGGUCCGGAAAUAUUUAAAAAGUGCUCGUAUUUGAAAUAUUCAUUAAAAGUUCGGUGAUUAGGAAUAUAUCACAGACAUAGAUCAAAAGGUUGGAAAAGUGCUAAGUGCAUCAUAGAUCAUUUAAAACUCCAGGGCUUCUAUGCCCAGUGGCCUUCAGACCUCUGGCAAAAUUUGGUUUCUUCUUCCAGAACACAGAUCUCAAACAACUGCAGUCAUCCUCUCAAGGAAAUUUUCUGACCUCUCACUGAAAGUAGAGGCAGGGAAGAUAUGAAGGGAAUAUGUUGGUUUUAUAACAAGACCUACAUCAUAUUAAAAUUUAUUUUGUGCUCAUCACUAUGCAAAUUUAACUAUAUCUAGAAGUAAAAAAAUAUGUUGCCAUA